UACGAAGGGGGCUAGCGUUGUUCGGAUUUACUGGGCGUAAAGGGCGCGUAGGCGGUUGUGCAAGUCAGAUGUGAAAGCCCCGGGCUUAACCUGGGAACUGCAUUUGAAACUGCACAGCUUGAGUAUGGGAGAGGUCGGUGGAAUUCCCAGUGUAGAGGUAAAAUUCGUAGAUAUUGGGAAGAAUAUCGGAGGCGAAGGCGGCCGACUGGACCAUAACUGACGCUGAGGCGCGAAAGCGUGGGGAGCAAACAGG
rnacentral:rRNA from 1 species